rnacentral:sRNA from 1 species
GAGAUAGAAAAUAAAGAGAGAUAAUUCUAGUGACUAUUUUUUUCCUAAAGUAAUCCUUUCAUGCAUUGACCUCUUUAAAUAUGAACCUUGGGUUUUUUUGUUUUUUUUUUUUUGUGAGACUUGUAUAGGGCUAAUCUAGCCAUUUUGUGAAAAAAUUCACACUCGAGUGCUCUUGUUUCUGAGUUUUGGAAAAACAACAUUUAUCUCUGUAGUGCUACUUCUGUGACACUAUCACUGAAGCAUCUAGGUAGAAAUUUAGGUGGAAUUUCCAAAUAUAAGUCCAACCUCAGUUUAACCCCCAAGUCUGGUCACAUGAACUUCCGUAGUAACCGACUCUUUUUGUUGUAGGAGUAAGUCCAUGAGCGAUGUCAGCGCAGAAGAUAUUCAAAACUUGCGUCAGCUGCGUUACGAGGAGAUGCAGAAAAUAAAAUCACAAUUAAAAGAACAAGAUCAGAAAUGGCAGGAUGACCUUGCAAAAUGGAAAGAUCGUCGAAAAAGUUACACUUCAGAUCUGCAGAAGAAAAAGGAAGAGAGGGAAGAAAUUGAAAAGCAGGCACUUGAGAAGUCUGAGA